GAUGAACGCUGGCGGCGUGCCUAAUACAUGCAAGUCGAGCGAACAGACGAUGCGCUUGCUCCUCUGUCGUUAGCGGCGGACGGGUGAGUAACACGUGUAUACCCUCCCUAUAAGACUGGUAUAACUUCGGGAAACCGGAUCUAAUACCGGAUAAUCUAUUGCACCGCAUGGUUCAAUAGUGAAAGUCGGUUUUGCUGUCACUUAUCGAUGGAUCCGCGCCGCAUUAGCUAGUUGGUAAGGUAACGGCGUAGCAAGGCAACGAUGCGUAGACGAACGGAGAGGGGGAUAGGCCACACUGGAAGUGAGACGGGGACAAGAGGCCUAAGGGAGGCAGCAGUAGGGAAUCGGAGGCAAUGGGCGAAAGCAUGACGGAGCGGGGCGAAGUGAGAGAUGAAGGUCUUGGGAUCGGAAAAAUCGGUUAUGAGGGAAAAACAGAUGUGGAAGGAAAUAAGCACGGAGUGACGGUAACGAAUCAGAAAGCAACGGCUAACUACGUG
rnacentral:rRNA from 1 species